rnacentral:rRNA from 1 species
GACGAACGCUGGCGGCGUGCUUAACACAUGCAAGUCGAACGGAAAGGCCCUGCUUUUGUGGGGUGCUCGAGUGGCGAACGGGUGAGUAACACGUGAGUAACCUGCCCUUGACUUUGGGAUAACUUCAGGAAACUGGGGCUAAUACCGGAUAGGAGCUCCUGCUGCUUGGUGGGGGUUGGAAAGUUUCGGCGGUUGGGGAUGGACUCGCGGCUUAUCAGCUUGUUGGUGGGGUAGUGGCUUACCAAGGCUUUGACGGGUAGCCGGCCUGAGAGGGUGACCUGACACAUUGGGACUGGGAUACGGCCCAGACUCCUACGGGAGGCAGCAGUGGGGAAUAGUGCACAAUGGGCGGAAGCCUGAUGCAGCAACGCCGCGUGCGGGAUGACGGCCUUCGGGUUGUAAACCGCUUUCGCCUGUGACGAAGCGUGAGUGACGGUAAUGGGUAAAGAAGCACCGGCUAACUACGUG